rnacentral:rRNA from 1 species
AGUGAACGCUGGCGGUAGGCCUAACACAUGCAAGUCGAACGGCAGCACAGUAAGAGCUUGCUCUUACGGGUGGCGAGUGGCGGACGGGUGAGGAAUACAUCGGAAUCUACUUUUUCGCGGGGGAUAACGUAGGGAAACUUACGCUAAUACCGCAUACGACCUACGGGUGAAAGCAGGGGAUCUUCGGACCUUGCGCGAUUGAAUGAGCCGAUGUCGGAUUAGCUAGUUGGCGGGGUAAAGGCCCACCAAGGCGACGAUCCGUAGCUGGUCUGAGAGGAUGAUCAGCCACACUGGGACUGAGACACGGUCCAGACUCCUACGGGAGGCAGCAGUGGGGAAUAUUGGACAAUGGGCGCAAGCCUGAUCCAGCCAUACCGCGUGGGUGAAGAAGGCCUUCGGGUUGUAAAGCCCUUUUGUUGGGAAAGAAAAGCAGCAGGUUAAUACCCCGCUGUUCUGACGGUACCCAAAGAAUAAGCACCGGCUAACUUCGUG